AUUUAGUUGGCAGAAUAAUGCGCUUGAUUUAGAAUCAAUCCAUGAUCACAGGAUCACUAAAUA
rnacentral:tRNA from 1 species